AUCCUGGUGCACGGGCUUUACGUGAUUCAGUGAAGGUACGCCUGAGAACACGUUUUUGCUAGUUGAAAACUAUAACAUGACCACUCCUAGUUGGCUUCGGCCGGCUAGGGAAUUUUUGGAACCGCUUGAUUCUUGACUGAUGAUUGUCUUUCAUUGCCUUUUGGUGCG
rnacentral:snRNA from 1 species